rnacentral:lncRNA from 1 species
AGGGAGGAGCGGCACGAGCGGGCUGCAAAGGGGCGGGAGCGGAGAACUUUCUAGAGAAGCGGUUAAACGGGUUGAGGCUCUUGGACUGAGGGUACUGGAGUGGUUUGGUUUUUUUGUUUGUUUGUGUCGUUUUUGUUAAGAUUUGCUUUUCUGGUUGAUGGCCCCUAGGAGUGCCCUCCUCCUACACCAGGACCUCUGGGAUCACAAUCUUCCCUAUGUCGUUCCGCCCCACCCCCACCCUUACCCCACCCCUCUGCCCGCGUCUAAGCGAUUUUUCCAGAUCCUUCUCUAUCCUCAGGACUCCAAGUGGCGAGCCUCCCAAGUCCGGGCCUGCCUCGUGGCCGGCCCUGCUCACCCAGGCCCACAGCGGAAUAGCUGGAGACAGGCAGUCAGAUGUGAAGUGGCAAAGAUCGGCCUCCCGUGAUUGUGCCACAGAUGCCCAUGGUUCCAGGCGUGGGCACCUGAGCAGUGUGGGAAAGAGAGGUCGAGGGAUUGAAAGUGUGGGCCCCGUAGGGACAGUUUCAGCCCAGGUGCACAGAUCGGACACAACUUUGCCCUCCCUGCAGCCUGGCAGGCCCACCGCAAAAAUGCCAUGAGCAGAUUUAUAAGAGCCAUAGACUUGUAAGUGGAGGUGAAUAGGAAGGAAGGUUUUCUCAACCUGCUCGCUGCUCCUAUGAGAUGCCUGUGGAGUUCUGAGUCUGUGUGGCUAAAACCAUGAAGUUCUGAUUACCGGAACAGUGCUGGCUUGAUGGAAGAUCUGUCUGGAGAGGUCCUGACUCUGCCCAGCAGUUUAGUACCCAGUUAUACAGCCUGGUCCUGGAUCGCAUACUGUGGAGACAGGGAAGCAAACACAGAGGCCAGUCCAGCUUGUCAGACUCGAGAGAGAAUGUCACACCAAAACAGCAGAGGACCUGGUUCCGUCUUGUCUAGAUUACAUUUCCCCACACUGUGAGAUCACCACUGGCAGUUUGGGCUUAUUGUUGGGGCCUGUGGGAACAUUCUCGAUCUUCCUCAUCACUAGAAGUCCGUCAAUGAUUUUUCCAAACACUACAUGCUUUCCAUCCAGCCAAUCACACUUAGAACACGUGAUAAAGAACUGGCAGCCAUUUGUACUGGGACCACUAUUUGCCAUGGAAAGCAGGCCUGGAGCAGAGUGUCUAAGUUUAAAAUUUUCAUCCGCAAAUGGACCCCGGUAAAUACUGGCGACUCCAGUGCCAUCGCCAUUAACAAAAUCUCCACCCUGAAUCAUGAAAUCCUUUAUGACUCUGUGGAAGGUGCUUCCUUUGUAUCCUAUUGGAACGCCAUCUUUUCUGAACUCUCCGGUGCAGAAUUGCCUAAAGUUCUCUGCCGUCUUAGGCACCACGACUGCAAAGAGCUCGAUCUUCAUGCGACCAACUUCCUGGCCGCCAAUGCUGACAUCGAAGAAGACCACUGGAUGGACUGGACUUGAAUUUGCCACUGCCAUGGCUUUGACCCGGAAAUCGGAAGACAUACUUUUAAUCUGGGCCACACCUUCUGUAGGAAGCCUAUAUAAGGACAAUGGGAGGAGGAAGUUUUAGUCUUUGGCCUGCUUGCCCUAACCUUGCUAGCACAUCCCUUUCUGCGCUGGCAUUGGAACCUACUUCUUUGGGAUUUCAGCAGAUACAGGAGAUGAGCGGAAACACCCAGGCUCAUGGGACUGAGCAACUAUUGGAUUCUUGGACUUCCCAUUCACAGCUAACCAUUGUUGGAUUAGUUGGACUUGAGUACAGCAUCCCAGAAGCAACAACAAUAUGUCACUCAUUUGACACGCAAGUAUCUGAGUGAUGACCACUGCUGUACUGUCUUCCAUGGGGAGUCUACUUCCAUUCACCGGGACUAGGUGAGGGAGGGAGGAGAAGGAGGAGUCAAGCAGAGUCCAACCCAGUUCUUAAAGGACUUGACCUAGGAGGAGUCACUAUGGGAUCUAGCCUCCCUUCUAACCUUAUAACUGGGAGUUGGAUUUUGAGAUAUUAGGAAAAAGUAAAUAAAAUCCAUGAAGCAGCCCUACACUCUGUCUGGUCACAGAGCCAUUGCUUGUGGAGACAAUGGCAGGGGACACUUCAUGCCAGUGUCACAUCUGAGGAACUCCCGAAGCAGAAUGAGACCAGCAUCCCUCGCAAGAAUAGGAAGAGGCCUAAUCUAUAGGAACCAAGGGAUGAGAAAUGAAGACAAAAAAAUGUAGACAGAGGUCACAUUCAGGUGAGCCUAGGCUAACCUGGCCACAGAAACUCUUUUGUUGCUAUUGCUUGUUUUGUUUUGUUAUUUUAAUCCGGGGACAAGGCUCUGGCCUUGUCUGUACCCUAUGACCACAGGCCCUGGUCACAUGAGACCCGAACAGAGGAUCACAAGAUCCGAUGUAGUUGAGGUGUGACCACAUCAAAGCCCGCAGUGAAGUGAGAACCAAGUGACCACAGCCUUGUUCACACUUGGCUCCCCACAGCCUUUCCUCUCCUCUCUUGACACACAUUUAGCCUCGCAGGCUCACCUCAGGCUCUUGGGGGUUACCUAAUGAUGGCGUUUGCUUCUUCCACCAAAUUUUAGGAAGUUCCUCCUUUAGUCAACCCAUCAAUCUCCCAGAUCAAGAAUUUGGAAAAACGAGUUUAUAUUCAGAUUCUUACUUUUAGUAAGGAAAGACCUGCAGCUAAGGGCACCAUGAAGUUGAUUUGGCAUGGAGACACAUCCCUGCCGUGUCUGUACUGGAGUAGGCUGGCUGGUUGUGGGAGGGGUCACAGAGAACACGGGAACGGCAGAGGUAGGUUCUGGAGGGCAGAGGUAGGCUGGUCUCGCCAGUUCUUCAUGUCAUGUUGUGGACACACAGAUACUUUCAGACAUUGUUGCUAAAAGGGGAAUCUGGGGCUUCCUGGAGUGACAAGGGAGUGACCUGGACAUGUUUUGUGCUUCUCUGGCUCACAGUCAUGAGACAGCCGUCCCGUGCUACAGAAGGAGUCAUGAACAUACUCAGGGAAGUCACCAUAGAGGUGACAUCGCCAACAACCCAUCUCUCACUCCAUAGAGGUGACAUCGCCAACAACCCAUCUCUCACUUCAAAGGUUCAAAUCUGAGAAUCCUUGUGACCAGUCAUGUCCCUUUGUCCUGUAAGACCCCCAAAGCUGGGCCUCUGCUCAAGUCCCGGGAUGAGCUGGCCAGCACCCCAAUAACCCGAGAGAAAACCACACCUGAUGCAAACUGCAAAAGGUUUUAUUAUCAGCUAGCUGAGGACGAAGUCCCUCUGCAGUGCAGGGGAGUUCGACCCCAAGCGGUGACAGUAGGGGACUUUUAACAGCUAGCUGAGGAAUUGGGAGGAGUUGGGAGGAGAGUUCUUCUCUUCCGGGUGUCCUUGGUGAACUUUACAAGGUAGGAGUGGGGAGUGAGUUCUUUCUGAAUUUUUAUCUCUGUGUCCUCGGCACAGGAAGGCAGGCAUCUCUGGUUGUAAAGUAUAGAAACAAAAAGGCUCUUUGCUGGCUAUAGAGAACAAAGAGCUUCUUUCUGGCUGUAUUUUUAGAGAUCAGGGGAAACAAGCUUGGGGAACGUCCAGGGGCUUUACCUUCCAGGGAGAAACGCUCUAAGUCGGGGUCUCACAGUCCCACCCCUGAAUUCAGGUCCUCAGGGUGUUACCUUUACACAUCAUGUGAGAGAGAGAGAGAGAGAGAGAGAGAGAGAGAGAGAGAGAGAGGGGGAGGGAGGGAGAGAGGAGGCCACUGUCCCUAUGUAGGUUGAAAAUCAGCCGUAGCAGCCACAAGACUGAUAAGAUCCCUAAGAGGGCGUGGCUGAUGGAGGGAUGGUUGUCUUGCUGUGCUCGCUCCCAUUGAGCUUCAUUGACACCACCUCUAGGCUCCAGGGGUCACCCAGGUCCCCCUAAGUACUUGGAGUUUUAGCAUGGCUCCCUCAUUUCCCAUCUGUA